rnacentral:rRNA from 1 species
UAGGGAAUCUUCCGCAAUGGACGCAAGUCUGACGGAGCAACGCCGCGUGAGUGAAGAAGGAUUUCGGUUCGUAAAACUCUGUUGUGAGAGAAGAACAGCGCAUAGAGUAACUGUUAUGCGUGUGACGGUAUCUAACCAGAAAGCCACGGCUAACUACGUGCCAGCAGCCGCGGUAAUACGUAGGUGGCAAGCGUUGUCCGGAUUUAUUGGGCGUAAAGCGAGCGCAGGCGGUCAAUUAAGUCUGAUGUGAAAGCCCCCGGCUCAACCGGGGAGGGUCAUUGGAAACUGGUUGACUUGAGUGCAGAAGAGGAGAGUGGAAUUCCAUGUGUAGCGGUGAAAUGCGUAGAUAUAUGGAGGAACACCAGUGGCGAAGGCGACUCUCUGGUCUGUAACUGACGCUGAGGCUCGAAAGCGUGGGUAGCAAACAGG